UAUUCCGGUGAAACGUUACAACGAUAAAAUUCUAAAACAAAAGAUUACUUAUUGUACUACGACUUUUGGAAAUCAGGAUCAUUAAAGGUCGCGACAUCAUUUACUAUUAUUUGUGCAUUAAUUAACAGGUUACAAGAGAGGUAAGUUCACUCUCUUGGAUAAAGACAUUAUACUAACACAUAGAGUACAUAAUAUAAAACUUAUUACUCAUUUUGAGCCACAGAUUUUGACUAAGGUGUAGAGUUUGUGAAAUUAGGUCUUGUAGAGUUAAGGCGUGUAGUGUUAGAAGCUUGCCUCUACAUGAGAUCUGAUAACUUUUUGACAGUGCGACUCAUAUGGGCUCGUCUCGGCAACAUUUUACAUGAUUUUUUUUUUGGUGGGAUUGUAUAAUCUGGAAUGUACUUUUUAUUUGAAUUUGAAGUAUCAGAACAUUUUAUAACCAAUUGACCAAUAAAAAGAGGAUGGCAGCACUGUUUAGAUCCAUGUCAAAAGUCUAAUUCAAAUUUGAUUGUGUCAAAUUCAAAUAAUAGGCGCUAUAUUGCAUUCAUUGCUUUCUGUUAUGUGUAUUAAUAUUAGUAAUUAUUCGUUGCUUUUGUUUGGACUAAGAAACUAGAAACUGAUGAAAAAAAUAUUAAAAGGUGAAAAUAUGUAAGUGCAUUAAUUUUUUUUUUUUUCUAAAAUGGAGCGUGUCGGCGCUUAACAAGAAAGUCGUUCCGAGAACAUGUUCCAUAGCCGGUCGCUGUAAGCUGAUAUUUACGAGACAUAGUUUGCUGGCACUCCUGACAUAGAUGGUACUAUGGUGAUGGAUAGAAUUUUAUGAUGUUAUUUCACUUUAGACAAUUAAUUUAUGAGAGUGUCACAGAGAUUCCAAAGCUUAAUUCAUUAUUAUUAAAUAUCUAAAUGUAAAGCUUAAGUUUGGAAUGUUUAACAGUAUAUUCAUAUUUUUUGAUUAGUACUCAUUUGGUGCUGGGACAAUUAAUAAAGCAAGACUUCACUAUUGUUCACAUUUUAUUUUCCAUGUUAUCAACAAGAAAUAAGAGUCAAUAUUUAUAGUAAUACUUAUACUGUAGAGUAUAGCUAAUACAGAAAAACAUUAUACGAUUUUGAUACCAUUCAGAAAAGUACACAAUUCUGUAAAUCAAUGGUUACAUUUACACCAAAAAUUAUUAUUAUUAAUUAUUUUCAUUCCAUUUUUCCGCACUCAAGAUAGAUAAUUCUCCUAAUAAUAUUUCAUCACAGAUCAAUAAUGUACUUCUUCGUUUCUUGCUCUCACAAAGAAAUAAAUAGAUAGGUAGGGCGGAACAUGGCCUUGACUACUGCAUUUAUGAUACUGCUACAUU